CAAAUGAUGAGAAUACCUUGUUGAAAGAUUUUGAUUUUAUAAUCAAAUGAUUGUUUAAUCCUCUAAGAAGAUCUGAUACCUUUU
rnacentral:snoRNA from 17 species